GAGUUUGAUCAUGGCUCAGAACGAACGCUGGCGGCAGGCUUAACACAUGCAAGUCGAGCGCGUAGCAAUACGAGCGGCAGACGGGUGAGUAACGCGUGGGAAUCUACCCGGAACUACGGAAUAACAUGAAGAAAUUUAUGCUAAUACCGUAUACGCCCUUUUGGGGAAAGAUUUAUUGGUUUCGGAUGAGCCCGCGUUGGAUUAGCUUGUUGGUAGGGUAAUGGCCUACCAAGGCGACGAUCCAUAGCUGGUCUGAGAGGAUGAUCAGCCACACUGGGACUGAGACACGGCCCAGACUCCUACGGGAGGCAGCAGUGGGGAAUAUUGGACAAUGGGCGCAAGCCUGAUCCAGCCAUGCCGCGUGAGUGAUGAAGGCCUUAGGGUUGUAAAGCUCUUUCACCGGUGAAGAUAAUGACGGUAACCGGAGAAGAAGCCCCGGCUAACUUCGUGCCAGCAGCCGCGGUAAUACGAAGGGGGCUAGCGUUGUUCGGAUUUACUGGGCGUAAAGCGCACGCAGGCGGAUAUUUAAGUCAGAGGUGAAAUCCCGGGGCUCAACCCUGGAAUUGCCUUUGAUACUGGGUAUCUGGAGUACAGAAGAGGUAAGUGGAAUUCCGAGUGUAGAGGUGAAAUUCGUAGAUAUUCGGAGGAACACCAGUGGCGAA
rnacentral:rRNA from 1 species